CCCUGAAGGAGAGGCAGUAACAGACUUUAAAUGUGGAAAAGAUUGGUAACACGGAAGCAAGAGCCAGCAAGACUGAAAACAACUAGUCCUAAACCACAAACACCAGAAAAAAAGUCAACAUACCAUUUGUCACCAUUUCACCACCAGCAUUGCUUAAAUAGCCUUCAUUGAGGACGCUGAGCCCCCAGGUGGCAGCUGAAAUCCUCAGCAAACAGUGCAUUUUAUUGUGGUGGCGUCCCACCAGAAAGGGCAGCUGGAAGCAGUUUGUCAGUGAAAAUGUAAGAAAGAGAAUCCGUGACCACUCAGGGCUUAUGUUAAAUAUCAAAUGGAGCAGGUGAGCCCGGAGUGUCUGAAGGGAUGUAUAUUGCCCAUCUACCUCACAUAUGGACAUGAAGUUCUUUUUGUGUCUGAGAAGACCCCUUAAAUUUUCUUCUCAAUAAAUAGGCUGGUCCGUGUCCUGCCUGGAAUGCCAUAAAAUUCUUCUGAGGUCUCUGCGUUCUCCGAUCACCACCUGCAAUUACAAUCCCCACAAGAGGAAUUUACUAAAGUAAUUGGAAAAUGAAGUCUCACAGCAUUUAACUACUUUCCACAAGGUCCAUAUUGAAUUUGAGAGUGAGCCAGCGUUUUGUGCUUGUGUGGUGGAAGCAAUAAAUAUCA